rnacentral:rRNA from 1 species
CGCCAGGGAACUACGAGCCCAUCCUUAAAACCCAAAGGACUUGACGGUGCCCCAUAUCCCCCUAGAGGAGCCUGUCCUAUAAUCGAUGAUCCACGUUUAACCUCACCCUUUCUUGCCACUCCGCCUGUAUACCUCCGUCGUCAGCUCACCGCAUGAGCGGUCAAUAGUGAGCACAAUGAUUUUUUAUCAAAACGUCAGGUCAAGGUGCAGCACAUGAAAGGGGAAGAGAUGGGCUACAUUUUCUAAAAUAGAAAAUUAACGGAAGACUUAGUGAAACCCAGUCAGAAGGCGGAUUUAGCAGUAAAAAGGAAUCAGAAAAUUCUUUUUAACCCGGCUCAGGGGCAUG